CUCCUGUUCCACUUCUUCCAGAGGCCUGUGCGUGUGAGGAUCGAUCCCCAUGCUACGGAGCUUCUUUUUGAGUGACCAUCUGCAGAUAAUAUGAAACCAUGGAUCAGGAUUUAGAAAUUCAGACUUUUGGACAAAGCAUCUUAGCAUGUGAAUGAGAGAGAUCAAGGAAAAGACAUGAUAAUUCAGUCCAGUGCAAGCCAGCAGAAACUCAAGCAGCUCUCCAUUUUUA